rnacentral:rRNA from 1 species
GCGAGUCUGAACAGGGCGCUCAGUUCGUAGGAUUAGACCCGAAACCGGGUGAUCUAGCCAUGGGCAGGCUGAAGGUGAGGUAACACUCACUGGAGGGCCGAACCCACGUUCGUUGAAAAGAACGGGGAUGACCUGUGGUUAGGGGUGAAAGGCCAAUCAAACCCGGAGAUAGCUGGUUCUCCGCGAAAACUAUUUAGGUAGUG